UACGUAGGGUCCGAGCGUUGUCCGGAAUCAUUGGGCGUAAAGAGCGUGUAGGCGGCUCGGUAAGGUUGCGGUGAAAGCCCGGGGCUCAACCCCGGGUCGGCCGUGGCAACUGCUGGGCUGGAGCACAGUAGAGGCGGGUGGAAUUCCGGGUGUAGCGGUGGAAUGCGUAGAGAUCCGGAAGAACACCGGUGGCGAAGGCGGCCCGCUGGGCUGUUGCUGACGCUGAGGCGCGACAGCGUGGGGAGCAAACAGG
rnacentral:rRNA from 1 species